GACGAACGCUGGCGGCGUGCCUAAUACAUGCAAGUUGAGCGCUGAAGGUUGGUACUUGUACCAACUGGAUGAGCAGCGAACGGGUGAGUAACGCGUGGGGAAUCUGCCUUUGAGCGGGGGACAACAUUUGGAAACGAAUGCUAAUACCGCAUAAAAACUUUAAACACAAGUUUUAAGUUUGAAAGAUGCAAUUGCAUCACUCAAAGAUGAUCCCGCGUUGUAUUAGCUAGUUGGUGAGGUAAAGGCUCACCAAGGCGAUGAUACAUAGCCGACCUGAGAGGGUGAUCGGCCACAUUGGGACUGAGACACGGCCCAAACUCCUACGGGAGGCAGCAGUAGGGUAUCUUCGGCAAUGGACGAAAGUCUGACCGAGCAACGCCGCGUGAGUGAAGAAGGUUGUCGGAUCGUAAAACUCUGUUGGUAGAGAAGAACGUUGGUGAGAGUGGAAAGCUCAUCAAGUGACGGUAACUACCCAGAAAGGGACGGCUAACUACGUG
rnacentral:rRNA from 1 species